GGGUGCUUGAUCUUGCUCAGUUCAAGCAUUUAUUUUUGGUCUGGGAAAGAAAAAGCCCCGUUAGUGAUAUUCACCAACGAGGCUGCACUCCCAACCAGACAAUCGGGAGUGUGCCUCUUAAUAAAAGAGAGGUCAAGGAGAAAUGACAAAG
rnacentral:antisense_RNA from 21 species